UUUUUAUGCAUUUUCCAUAUUCUGGUAUUGUAUCUUAGCUGUUUUGUGCAUCAUUUUCAUUUUGAGAAUUUGAAGUAGCAUGUAUAAACACUCCAACCUUAUUUGCUUUCAUUGGUAGGCUGCUUUGUGUGUAAGGUAUCAAAUUGUUCCGUUACUUGUAAGGAGUACCUUUAAAUUUUCAACAUGGUUUCAUGUUGCAAAUGCCACACUUGAAUGGACAGAAUAGAGGAAAUAAGAUAGAAGAAGAAAGUUAUUAAUGUAGUACUGUUAUUGAAUAAUAAAAAAAGUACCAAAACAGAUUCUUUUCUCAGGGAAUAAAAUUCCAGAUUAGGAGGAUGAUUAAUAACAACAAAUCAGGUGGAUAGAUGGGGCUAAUAGUCAAAUCUGUUGAGUUUAGCGCCUAGCACUAAACUCUAAAACCGAUAGGGGUAUUUUGGGUCCCAUCGGCUCCCAUAUUUCUGUGAUGUGGUUUUUCUUGUACUUGGGCAAUGGGGAUACUAUUGUCUUUUACUUUCAGCAUUAUUUUAAUAUAAGUAAAGGACUAAAACCUGCGAUCAACCUAUUUUGGUAAGAUCGCAGGUCGCUUCUCAUCUUUUGGGAGUCUCCUUCGGUUGUUCCUCUCUCUUCUCUCUUCUAUUCUUUUUUUCUCUCUCUUUUUUUUUUUUUUUUUUUCUUUUGGUUUGAUUAUAAGGUAUCUGGGAUUGUAACAUGGUAUCAGAGCCUCUAUAAUCAAAUCAAGCUUUUCAAAAUCCUCCCUCUUCAUCUCGGUUUUACGCUGAAAUCUUCUGGUGUGCAGCCACCUAUUGUUGCAUCUACUAUGGAUUAAAUCACAUGGAGUGAUUUAUUUGGUGUAUGGAUCGUGCUCUAUUAGUACCAUGCUAAAGAUUUGAAGAACUUGAACCGCAGCCAUCUUCUUCUUUCCUUUAUCGAAUCCGGGUCUCUUGGGUCAAAGCCAGAUAUUCAGUCACUGUGGUUUAGGUUGGUUUGUUAUUUUUCUUGGUAUUUUUGGGUGAAAUCCAGAUAUCGGCGACUUUAUUUGUGGGUGAAAGCCAGAUAUCGGCGACUCUAUUUGUCUACUUUAUUUUUGGUUCUCAUGGCUGAGCCCAAGUCUACUACCUCUGUGACUACUGAAUCUGUCUCGGACAAUGUCAAUGUCCAAAUUACUUCUAUUAAGCUUAAGGGAAGCUUGAAUUACCUACUUUAGGCUCAAUCUGUGAACGUUUACCUUAUGACCAAGGAUAAACUAAAGUAUACUACUUCUGAUUCUCCUUCAUCAUCUGACAAGGGUUAUGAUGAAUGGAUGAAGGAGAAUGCUUUGAUUUUAAUCUGGUUGUGGAAUAGUAUGGAACCAGAUGUCGCUGCUAAUGUCAUGUUUCACUUUACUGCAAAGGGAGUAUGGGACGAUUUGAAGGAAACUUACUCUCAAGAAAAGAACAUGACCCGUAUCUAUGAUAUUUAUAAGAAGCUGUUUUAGUUUCACCAGUCUGACAGAUCUCUUUUAGAGUAUUAUAAUCCUUUCAGGGGAAUGGUUAAAGAACUUAAUGUUUUCCAGCCCUUGACCACAGACAUUGACAAAUUGAAAGCUCAGCGGAAUGAGUUUUUUGUUUUCAAAUUUUUAGCUGGUUUGAAUAAUGAUUUGAAGGUAGUGAAGGGACAUUUACUUGCAGACGAUAUUGUUUCUACUCUGAAUGACACUUAUUCGCGACUACAACGUUUCACUUCAUCAACUAAAUCUGAUCAGUCUUCCAAGGACAAUUUGUCUUCCUUGCCAACCAUGGAUGUGGUCGCGGUGGUGGAUCGGCUGGUCGAGGUUCUAAUAAACAGCCUUCUCAUCGUGCAGAUCGCCAGUGCACUUGUUGCGGGAAGCCCAACCAUACUAUAGAGACUUGCUGGGAAAAACAUGGCAAGCCAGAGUGGGGGCAACCUAGUUAGCCAAUCAUGCAGUGUCAGGUGAUGGUAUUGACACAGUGUCUUCCGUUGAUGCUAAACCGAGACCUUCUUCAAGAGAUUCAUCUAUUAGUUUGCGCAAUGACAUCAAUUAGUUGCUCCGACGCUUGCAUACUCUCGAGACAUCCUUUAAUACAUCCCAUGAUGGGUCUACAUCCGCUGCCACCUUAGCUCAUACAGGUACCUCAGCCCUUCUUACCACUACCUUUACCCCCUGGAUCAUUGGUUCUAGUGCUUAUGCCCAUAUGACUGGUAAAUCAUCACUUUUUAAAACAUUUUCUUCUAGUACCAGUUCUACAUCUGUUAUUCUUGCCAACGAUGCUUCUACAUCGGUUCUCGGUCAUGGAUCUUCACACGAGGAAGACGAUUGGUGGAGGGCGUGAAAAAGAUGGUUUAUAUUAUCUCAACUGUGGUUCUCAUACUUCUUCUGCUGCUGUUACUGCUAUUGCUGUUGGGGAUGUGACUCCUUUCCAAUGGCACUGUCGUUUAGGACAUUUAUCUUUAGCUAGGUUAAAACUUUUAUUUCCUAGUUUUAAGUCUUUGAUUAGGUUAGAAUGUGAGGCCUGUGAGUUGGGAAAACAUCACCUUGUGUCCUUCCUAUCUCGCUUUGUGUCUUAUAGCCCGUCUUUAUUUUCCUUAGUCCAUUCUGAUGUAUUGGGUCCUCGCAGAGUUAGUAAUAGAUUUGGUUUUCGUUAUUUUGUGACUUUUAUGGAUGAUCAUUCUUGCCUUACAUGGCUUUACAAGUUAAAGGACAGAUCUGAAUUUUUAUCUGUGUUUCAACAAUUCUAUAAUGAAAUAAAAACCCAGUUUGGCAUUUUGAUUAAGAUUUUUCGUUCUGAUAAUGCUUUAUAAUAUGCUUAAACUGAUAUUUCUGAUUUUUGUGCCAACUGUGGGAAGAUACACCAAACCAGUUGCCCUUAUAACCCACAGCAAAAUGGGGUAGCAGAGCGUAAGAACCAGCAUUUACUCGAGGUUGCCUGUGCUAUUAUGAUUCAUAUGCAUGUUCCUAAGCAUUUUUCGUGUGAUGGGGUUUUAACUGCAUGUCACUUGGUUAAUCGCAUGCCAUCUUUAGUGCUUUCAAAUAGGUCCCCUUUUUCUAUUAUGUUCCCUACUUUGCCAAGUUUUCCUGUUCCUCCCCAAGUCUUUGGCUGCGUGUGUUUUGUCUAUACUUUGCAUGUGCAAGUAGAUAAACUGUCUCCUAGGUCUACUAAGUGCAUUUUUUUGGGUUAUUCACGUACUCAGAAAGGGUAUAAGUGCUAUAACCCCAUUACUCACAGGAACUUUGUUAGUGCUGAUGUGACCUUUAAAGGCACAUCAUUCUUUUCUCCUCAGGUGUCCCAGUCUGGUAUGGAGUGGACUUCUCCAUCUCCACCCAUUCCAUCUCUCAUACCCUUCCCUGAUGUGCCCAGUGCCAGUGACACCUCUUUUACAGGUUUAUCAGCACAGGAAGAAGGUUGGACAACCGAGUGGAGAAACCAAUACUCUAGAUGAUUCACUUCCUCCACUGCUACCUUUCUCUGGUUAAGCUCCUCCUUCUCUGCCUGAUGACUUACCAAUUGCUCAAAGGAAGGUACACAUUCUUGCACUAAAAAAUCUAUGGUUGUGUAUCCUAUUGAUAACUUUGUUUCCUUAUCUCAUCUUCCCUCUCCCAUCCAUGGUCUUGCCUUGUCACUUUCUUCUAACCCUAUUCCCCACACCCAUAAUGAUACCCUAAUUAUUCCUGGAUGGAAAGCUGCCAUGGAUGUAGAAAUGGAUGCUCUCUUGAGUCGUGGUACUUGGAGUCUGGUAGAUUUACCUCCUGGUAAGGAUUUGGUGAAGUGUCACUGGGUGUACACUGUUAAGUAUCACUCUGAUGGCUCUGUUGAGCGGUUGAAAGCCCAUCUGGUUGCCAAGGGGUAUACUCAGACAUAUGGAGUUGAUUAUUUUGAAAUCUUCUCCCCGGUUGCUAGACUGAACUCUGUUUACCUACUUAUUUCUCUUGCUAUCAACUUUGAUUGGCCCUUGUUUCAGUUGGACAUCAAGAAUGCAUUCUUGUAUGGUGAUCUACAGGAAGAGGUGUAUAUGGAGCAACCUCCUGGUUAUGUUGCUCAUGGGGAGAAUAAAUGUCGCGUGUGUCGCUUACACAUGGCUAUCUAUGGACUUAAAUAGUCCCCUCGGGCCUGGUUUGACAAGUUCAGUGCUACCAUAGUUGCUUGUGGAUUUUCUCAGUGUUAUUCUUAUCAUUCUGUCUUUGUUCGUCGCAGAGGUGAUAAACUGGUUGUCUUGGUAGUUUAUGUGAUAUUAUUCUUAUUGGUAAUGAUGAAACAAGAAUUUAUAAAGUGAAAGCUUAUCUAUAGCAACACUUUCAGACCAAGGACUUGAGCCAACUUCACUAUUUUCUUGGGAUUGAGGUGAUCUGAUAUAAGAAAGGGAUCAAGCUAUCUCAAAGGAAAUACAUGUUGGACCUUUUAUCUGAUACUGGCAUGCUUGCAUCCAAACUUGAUGAUAUCCCUAUGGAUCCUCACCAAAAGUUUGGUGUUAAUGAUGGCGAACCUCUUCAGGAUGUGCAUCAGUACAGGAGUUUGAUUGGCAAGCUGAUUUAUCUUACUGUAACACGUCCUGACAUCUCCUAUGCUGUUGGAGUCCUCAGUCAGUUCAUGUAGUCUACUUAGAAAGCACAUUGGGAUGUUGUUGUUCGUGUUCUUCGUUAUCUAAGGGGUGCUCCUGGAAAAUGGAUGAUCUAUCCACCUAAUCGGCAUAUGGAACUAGUUGGCUAUUUUGAUACUGAUUGGGCCGGCUUUGCUAAUGAUCGGAGAUCUACUACUGGUUAUUGAACAUUUGUUGGAGGUAAUCUGGUUACAUGGCGUAGUAAGAAGCAGACUAUCAUUGCCCGAUCUAGUGCAAAAGCAGAAUACAGAGCUAUGGCUCAUACUACUGCUGAGUUAAUGUGGCUACGGUCUUUACUCUUGGAGUUGGGAUUUCCAGUGACCAAGCCUAUGCAGAUGUAUUGUGACAACCAAGCUACGGUGUACAUUGUUAGUAAUCCAGUCUUCCAUGAGAGGACCAAGCACAUGGAGGUGGACUGCCACUUUGUUCGUGAUGCUGUUUUGAAGAAGCUGAUUGAGACUCCUUUUGUUCCUUCAUCAGAUCAGUUGGUUGAUAUGUUCUAAGUCACUGUUUGCUCCUAGUUUUCAUAAUGGUUGUACCAAGCUGAGCAUGGGUGAUGUGUAUGCUCCAGCUUGAGGGGGAGUGUUAAGUUUAGCGCCUAACGCUAAACUCUAAAACCGAUAGGGGUAUUUUGGGUCCCAUCGGCUCCCAUAUUUCUGUGAUGUGGCUUUUCUUGUAAUUAGGCGAUGGGGGAACUAUUGUCUUUUAUUUUCAACAUUAUUUUAAUAUAAGUAAAGGACUAAAACUUGUGAUCAA